UAGCUGUGAGCUACCAGGCCUGUUGGAC
rnacentral:piRNA from 1 species